rnacentral:lncRNA from 1 species
CAACAUUUGUCUUUGUUCUGUAAUACUUUGUUCCAUCUACACUCGCAAGUUAUGAAACUGUUUUUUUUACUAUAGUCAACAUCCACAUGUGUGUGCUUAUGUUAUCUCUUAACAGAUCGAUCUACAACACAUACGCAUUGCAAUUAUGAGAAAUCCAUCAAUAUGCAGAUGAAGCCUUAAGAAUUAUUUAAGUCAUUGUAAUUAUAUAUAUCAUGGUGAGGGCCCUUCCGCUGGUAAGGAAAACUUAGAUAUUUUGCGUAUUAUAUAUUUUUGAUUGAUGUAACAUUUGUUUUCCCCUGACAAAAAGUAAUGUUUGUUUCAUGUUCUUAUUCAGUAAAAAUGUGCACAGCACAAUCUCAAAUUUUAUGCAAAAGCUCAGAUGGCAAUAGUUCCUACACUCAUGUUAUCCAAUAUAAACUGUUGAAUGAUUGAUACAAUUUGAAGGUGAGAUACAAGAACAUCAUAACAUUGAUAUUCUCGUCGUAUGUAUAUGACUACUAUAUAUUCCCGAAACCUCACCUCUAAACUGAGUUUAGUGCAGUUUUUUUAUUUUUUGAAAUACAGGUACUUCUCAAUUUUUGUACUAAUUUUCUAUUUUGGGGAAAGCCACAUAUGUUUCCAACAAUAGAAUGAUGUGUGAUGGUCAUCACACAAACUCCUGGCCAGGUGCCUUUCACAUCUUAUCUUGUUUGUAAUAUAUAUAUUCUCCUUAAAUUGUUAACACAAUGAGCAUAUAGAUGUAGCUGGUUCAUCAACGUAAACAUCAAAAGUAUUCCUCUUAUGCAGUCUGCUUCCCUGACAUGCAGGGCACACUAAGGUGGUGGGAAGAUACAUACAACCGUUAACUUGACGGCUAAGCGAUCAGAUGCGGCGAUUGUGUGAGUGUGUCAGGUACGUCGAAUUCACUUAUCCCAAACUAUUGGAAGUUACUAGGAUCUCCUCUUCUCUGUAAUACUUAUGGCCUUCUCCUCUACCUAUUGGGGCAACAGUUUGGAUAUCCAGCAACCAUGGUGACAAAUACGUGCAUACUGGAACUGUUCCAAGUUUCCAUUUUCUCAGUAAACAAGUGAACUAAGAAAGUGAAUCCUAUUUAAUAAAUGUAGGCAUAUACUAAUACGGUGGCACAACUUAGUCUGCAUGAAUGUUCUGGUCUUCUAAAUUUUUAGUAUAAUGUUGAGUACUUUAGUUGGAGUCCAUGCUAGUUUAGCUAGCCAAGUUGAGUCUAAUAAGGCUAGGUCGAUUAGUUAGUUUUCCACCAUUGCAAGUCGUAAGCAUGUGUGCUCAUGGAUGGGUCGUAGUCUGUAGAUGAUUCAAUGAUUUUGCAUAGGUAGCAGCGUACGUGAUGUACUAGUAUGCCUUGGAGUUGGUGUGCCUUACUAGUCUAGGAAAAGGGCGCUCGAGUCCAAGUCGUUUUAGAUGCAAAGUCAGAGUAGGUUUAGGUUGUUCCGGCCAUGUAGCAGGUCAUAGUUGUGGAAGCAGGUCGUAUAAGAGUUUUUCCAUAGAAAACAAGGUCAUGUAAGAGCUUUCAGACAAGAAUAAAGAGUACGCUAAAGUUUCUUUCAUGCGCAUGUGUUUGGCUAUUUUGAUGUGAUAGAUUCUGUGGACAAAACAGAACAUAGAUUACUAAUCCAUAUGCCAAAUCAGCAGGUUACAGAAACUUGAUUGUUCCAAGUCAAUGUUGUUGGCACUAAAACCUAAAAGACUACUGGUGCCAAGCUGGAUUUGCUAGGAGGUAUUUUCUGAUAUUACUUCUAUAUUGCCUGAAUGAUUCUUCACCAAUUCGAAUGGAAAUUUUGGAUUAUUAAUAGCAUUACUUGAAUAUAUUUUUAUUAUCACACAUGCUUCUGUUCUUUUACCUAAUUCGUACAAGAGAACACUUUUCUUCCAUGUUACAAUGGUCAUACACUCAUACUGCGUCUCUAAGAUAAGACUCUUUGCCGCUAGAUUAGGUAAAAUAAUUCAUCAACUCCUGUAUGCCUUCCUUACAUUCCCUCACUUCCUAUAUAACACUCUGUUUCUAUAAACAUGGUGAAACUUGAUAAUGGAAUGAGCUGAGUUACUUUACUGUAAACUAAAAUGACUACGUUCGGCUACAAAAGUGAUACUUGACAAGUUCAAACAAGAGCGCUGCUCUUACUACAACCCAACGUAUCAACCAAGAAUAUAAAGGUAAAAUUGACGGUGUUAAACUUGGUAAUGAAUUCCUUAUAUUCCGAAUUGAUCUUACAUUAGCAAAAUCUGGUAAGUUUAUACAACUAAUAAAAAGUCAAAAUUACUGGCGAUAUAGCUAGAUUAAUUAUCACAUGGCCUUCAACCUUUCUAUGUUGCUCCUCUUUUUCAAUUUUACUGCCCUAUUAACCUAUCUCAUUUCUUUGUGUAGAUUGCAAGAUAAAUCGGUGAUGCAUCGUCAGAUGUUGAUUGCAAGGUCAAGAACAUGGGUGCAACUAGAUAGUUUCACAUUGUGUUUCAGAAUGUCAUUUUCAUUGUCGAUGUGUCAAUCAUUAUGAUUCAGGCAUUUUCGGUGUCAAUGUUUAGAUCAUUAUGUUUCAAAAUGGCUGAGACGUUGGUUGCAAGAUCAAGAAUAGGACCAGUACUAGUUUCACAUCUUGUAAUCUUUGUAUCCAGAUCCUUGUAAUGCAACCAAGUUGACUUAAUAUAUGAGACAGUUCUGUUUGUUAUACUGCGUGCCCUAUGCAUUAUUGGCAUU